CCCGCACAAGCGGUGGAGUAUGUGGUUUAAUUCGAUGCAACGCGAAGAACCUUACCUGGUCUUGACAUCCCGGAGACCCUUAGGAAACUAGGGGGUGCCUUCCAUCUGGAAGAAUCUGGAGACAGGUGCUGCAUGGCUGUCGUCAGCUCGUGUCGUGAGAUGUUGGGUUAAGUCCCGCAACGAGCGCAACCCUUGCCUUUAGUUGCCAGCAGUUCGGCUGGGCACUCUAAAGGGACUGCCGGUGUUAAACCGGAGGAAGGUGGGGAUGACGUCAAGUCCUCAUGGCCUUUAUGACCAGGGCUACACACGUACUACAAUGGCCGAUACAAAGGGCAGCGACACUGCGAGGUGAAGCCAAUCCCGUAAAAUCGGUCUCAGUCCGGAUUGGAGUCUGCAACUCGACUCCAUGAAGUUGGAAUCGCUAGUAAUCGUGGAUCAGCAUGCCACGGUGAAUACGUUCCCGGGCCUU
rnacentral:rRNA from 1 species